ensembl:snRNA RNU6-623P RNA, U6 small nuclear 623, pseudogene
GUGCUUACUACAGCAGCACAUAUACUAAAAUUGGAAUGAUACAAAGAAGAUUAGCAUGGCCCCUGUGCAAAGAUGACACAAAUUCAUGAAGCGUUCCCUAUUUCA